UCCCUGGUGGCUCAGACAGUAAAGCAUCUGCCUACAAUGCAGGAGACCCGGGUUCGAUCCCUGGGUUGGGAA
rnacentral:tRNA from 1 species